AGUCCUAUAACGAGCGNAACCCCUAUCGUUAGUUGCCAACAGGUAAUGCUGGGAACUCUAGCGAGACUGCCGGUGCAAACCGCGAGGAAGGUGGGGAUGACGUCAAAUCAUCACGGCCCUUACGUCCUGGGCUACACACGUGCUACAAUGGUAGGGACAGAGAGCAGCCACUUCGCGAGAAGGAGCGAAUCUACAAACCCUAUCUCAGUUCGGAUCGCAGUCUGCAACUCGACUGCGUGAAGCUGGAAUCGCUAGUAAUCGCAUAUCAGCCAUGAUGCGGUGAAUACGUUCCCGGGCCUU
rnacentral:rRNA from 1 species